UACGUAGGGGGCAAGCGUUGUCCGGAAUCAUUGGGCGUAAAGCGCGCGUAGGCGGCCCGGUAAGUCCGUUGUGAAAGUCAAAGGCUCAACCUUUGAACGCCGAUGGAUACUGCCGGGCUAGAGACCGGAAGAAGCGAGUGGAAUUCCUGGUGUAGCGGUGGAAUGCGCAGAUAUCAGGAGGAACACCAAUAGCGAAGGCAGCUCGCUGGGACGGUACUGACGCUGAGGCGCGAAAGCGUGGGGAGCGAACAGG
rnacentral:rRNA from 1 species